AUACGUAGGGGGCGAGCGUUGUCCGGAAUGACUGGGCGUAAAGGGCGUGUAGGCGGCGGUGUAAGUCUGGAGUGAAAGUCCCGCAUUCAAUGUGGGAAUUGCUUUGGAUACUGCAGUGCUAGAGUGCGGAAGAGGUAAGUGGAAUUCCCAGUGUAGCGGUGAAAUGCGUAGAGAUUGGGAGGAACACCAGUGGCGAAGGCGACUUUCUGGCUGACAACUGACGCUGAGGCGCGAAAGCGUGGGGAGCAAACAGGAUUAGAUACCCUGGUAGUCCACGCCGUAAACGAUGAUUACUAGGUGUAGGGGGUAUCGACUCCCUCUGUGCCACAGUUAACGCAUUAAGUAAUCCACCUGGGGAGUACGGCCGCAAGGUUAAAACUCAAAUGAAUUGACGGGG
rnacentral:rRNA from 1 species